rnacentral:rRNA from 1 species
AUUGAACGCUGGCGGUAUGCUUAACACAUGCAAGUCGGACGGUAGCCGCUUCGGUGGCGAGAGUGGCGGACGGGUGAGUAACGCGUAGGAAUCUGCCUGUUAGUGGGGGACAACUUAGGGAAACUUAAGCUAAUACCGCAUACGCUCCUUGUUGAAAGACGGGGAGGAAAGCGGGGGACCGCAAGGCCUCGCGCUAACAGAUGAGCCUGCGUGGGAUUAGCUGGUUGGCGGGGUAAGGGCCCACCAAGGCGACGAUCCCUAGCUGGUCUGAGAGGACGACCAGCCACACUGGGACGAGGACACGGCCCAGACGCCUACGGGAGGCAGCAGUGGGGAAUAUUGGGCAAUGGGCGCAAGCCUGACCCAGCAAUACCGCGUGUGUGAAGAAGGCCUUCGGGUUGUAAAGCACUUUAAGUUGGGAAGAAAAAGCUUUGGCUAAUAUCCAAAGCCUUGACGGUACCGACAGAAUAAGCACCGGCUAACUCUGUGCCAGCCGCCGCUGUAAAAC